ACCACAGACUCUUUCUUCCGAGUCCCUUUGACAGUUCCCAGGCUGCCUGCCAUCUGUGGAUGCAACUCUUUAUGAUCCACCCCUUCAGUUAAAGAGUUUGUGUUUGUAAGACUAACAUAUCCAUAAACAGGCCAAUAUACCUGUGGUUGAAAACUGUGUAUAUUACAUUUCUCACUAUCAGUUGGCUACAGAGGUCUUGGGUGCAUGAGGCAGAAAGGGUCCACAGACUGCUGGAUCAAGCCUUUCAACUGAAUUCGGUGUCACCCUAAAAGCAGUACUCACUGUUGGAGAUUAGUGUCGUUCUCCCUAAUACCCAAAUCUAACAGUGUGUGUCUGUUGGGAUUUCAGACACCAAAUGCUGAUCUGAGCUCUUCCCGGUAACUGAGAACCUGCAAACCACUUUUAUGUACAAGAUAAACUUGUCACCAUCAGUAAAGAUCUCUGUCACGUGUGAGUCUCUUUCCUCUCUGCUUUUUUAAUACCAUGAGAUCCUAGGGAACUCACAAUUUAAAAAGUAGCAUGUAAAAAGAAAAGUAAUUUGCUGAUUGCCUGGCUUCUUGCUGCUGCACUGCCAGAUAAAAUAAAGCACAAUAAGGUGAAAAUGAUCGUUUCAACAGUUUUAAGACUGUUAAGAGGAAAAAAAACAAACCCAAAACCUCUGAUUCCCUGCCCUAAAUGGAGUCUCAUCUCUUUAUCAGAAAGGAUAACAGCUUUAGAGUAAGAUGCUGCCAUUCACUCUUAGUCAGCAGUUUUGAAAAGUCAACUUCCUAUUCUUAACCUGGAUUUCAAAGACAUCUGGGUGCUUCAGCUGGUGAAAUGUGUUUGUCAAUCACAUGUCUACAGAUACCUGGAUAGUUUAAUGAUCAUUUUUCUGGUUAGGGAUGCAGUGUGAGGCUGUGCAUCAGUGCUAAUGUUUAUAGUUGCACUUAAGUGCUGGCUAAGUAAGGAAAGAUGAUGCAUCUCAAAAGUCAUCAUGGGUUAUUUUGCCUUUAGAUAUCCUUGGAUUUAGUAACAAGUAAAUAGAAAUACUUUCUAGUAAAAGAGUCUUUUUAGUAAAAAAAGUCUUAGUAAAAACUGGAUGCCAUACAUAAACUAACAUCUGAAAUAAGCGAAUGUUUUGUUUAUUUAACCACUAAAUUGUGUUAGAUUAAAAGCCAUUCUGAGGAAAAUUGCAUAGUUUUGUUCUGGAGACAUCAACUGAUAAAAAUCAAUGCUUCCCUUUGAAUCUUGUCUCAGUAGUUCAUAGCCUUCAUCCUUAGAAUUUCUGGUUUUAUUUUCCUUGACCUUUCAGAGAAUCUCUGCAGGUUGGGAUGUCCUAAUUUUCCUUGACUAAUUUUCCUUCCUGAGCAAAGCCCACAGGAAAAUCCUCAGCAAAUGACAGUUCCAGCUCACUAAACACCAAACAGGUCACACUGGGUUGGUAUAGCAGGCUUCUUGUGACAUCUGGGAGUCUUUCAUCCUGGGUCUAGAAGGGUGCACCCCAUUCUGCCCAACUGUACGUAUUUCCUUAUCCCUUUGUUGUCAUCCCUUUAAUGCAAAUGACCUCCGUAGUUAAAACCUAGGAAAUUCUAAUUAGGUGUAGAAAAUGUUCCCUUAGUAAGACUUCUUUUCUUUGUGCCAUUUAUAAUGGAUGUGAUAAUUUGAUAGAUGUUUUGUGUUGCUUUUUCUCCAAGAGAAAUUGUCAGUCACUUUGGGUUUUUGUUCUUUCCAGUUUUUUCAUUGAGAAUAUGUAUCCUUAAAAAAAUAUCGAGGUUAUAAAUACAAGAAGUGUUCCAUACUGAAAGCAGGGAUCACUGUCCACCAACCAUAUGAACAGAGGCAGGGCAUCCUCGACAUGGUUUUUGUCUAAGUGGUGCACUUGUGUUCUCCUUUCUGGCUAUGUCAUGCAUAGCUAUUUUAUAUGCUAUAAACUGACAUGAAGUUUUGGCACUGCCCCCUGAACUGUGACAUCUUGUCAGAUGGAAGCUGUUACGUGGGGAGAACACAGUUCUUGCAGCAGAGGGUAUUUGCAAUGAUCCCUCCAUGAGAAUGAGCAGCCUGAAUUUCUCCAUGCCAGCUAGUGCCAUAAACAUGGAGAAGCCUAGGAGAUCCGUGAGGAGGGAGCUGGAGUAAGAAACCAGAAUGCAGCAAUUCUACAAGAGCUUGAGUUACAGUCCAUGCAUGACUGCUGCAAAAUGAAAACUUCUUAAAGUAAGUCUUACUUUUUUCACCUUCCCAAAAGAAGAAAUAUGCUUAAAAUUCAGCUCUGCACUAGAUUUGGGUAAGCUGUGUGUGCCCGUUGCUAAAGAGGAAUAUGGCUGAGAAGGGCAAUCUGAUCUUCCAUCAAUACAAAGGUUUGUACGCUGUGUAUUGCUUCAUAAAUAAGGUGAAUUUGGGCAAGCCAAAGGUCAGCUAGCAGAACGUUCAGAAGUUGGAAAAUAAAAUUUCCACUGAUUAAGUUAAAAGGAUAACUCACGUAAUGUGAGUGUUUUCAUACAGGCAAACAUGAAACACAAAUGGCAGCUGUCUUGUGCAGUGCCAUUAUGAUAAGACACAUGCAUUAUGGGAAGCUUUCAUUAUUCUCAAGCCAAACAUUAUAAAAAGCUAGGAAAAUAUAUUGUAACCUAAUGGGAAUGUAUUUCUUAAGCGCUUAAGAAAUUUAUCCUUGCCUUUAUAUAUAACACGAAUGCAGUGCUUUUUAGAACACCAUACAUUUUGUUUGCAAUUUCAGAUAAUAAUGGUAAGGACCCUUUUUUUUCUCACUUGGAAUUUUAAUAUUACUUCUCCUAGCUAGAGCUAAAGUUCUUUGAGUGACUUAAUUUUUCCAUUUUCAUGCCUUAGUUCAGGAAGACACUAUUUCUCAAUUUUCCAGGAACAUAAUUAUUACUGAAGUCACGGAAACUUCACUGCAGUGGUUUCACAGUUGAGAAACUAGUAGCCACACUCCCUGACUUUACUUGUGAUUAAUGUACAAAUGUACAUUACAUCUGGGAGUCUUCUCUUUUUUAAUUAGUAAAAUGUUCAUACAGGAGGAGUAAACAAGAAAUCUACAGAGAAUGCGAACAGCUUGUAUUUCCAGUAGUGUGAAGCUAUGUAUAAAUAGGACAUGAUGCAUCCACUUCCCCAAUGAAACAAAUAUUUGUAAUUGUCAAGAUGGUUGAUGUUGAAAUAAUAAUCAGUUCUUCUUCGGUUCAGUUCCAGGGAAAAGCCAUAAUUACAUAUGACAAAUAUGCUGGAAUUCACCCUACUGUCUAUAUAAAAUUCCAAAAGUCAUCUCGGCAGGAGAGGCACAUACUAAGAGUUUAUUUCGGUUUGAAAAGGAAGACAUGGUUCUUUCAGUGUUCACUAUGCAUUUGGCAGUAAGUGACGUGACUUCUGCUGUGGCAUUUUUAGAUAUUUACAUAAUGAUCUGAAGUGCAGUUGAGUGAAAAGAAAGGUAGCCACACUAAUCUGCUUGCUAAACAGUUCCACCAAGCUUUUCACUGAAGGGUGGUUUUUGUAAGACAUACUAAGUGACAGUUACAUCUCACGAUUUCACAUCAGAAUACGUAUGCUUGUAUGAAACUUGUUUAUAUUGCAUGUUUGUGCUCUUUCAUUCCAUCAAAUCUUACAUAUUCUGCGUGCCUCCCGAUUUGAAAUUUCCAGCAGACUGCUCAUUUUCAACUCAGAACAGAAACGAGUGCUGGCUGUUCAUGGCCCAGCACUAUCUUCACAUAAAGUACUUCAUCCACAAAUGAAACACCGGCUUGGCAGAUCAGAUAAAAAAAAGCAGAGUACAUCCUGCACCCAGAUCUGUUCUGUGGCUAGAAACAGGCAGGUGAAAAACAGAAUUCUGCUUUAUUUGGAAUGUUAGUGUUAUUUUGCAGUCCAUUUCUGAAGGGUUUCACUCUUUUUUUCUCCUGCAUCACUAACCUUAGCAAGUGAAGAGAACCACACGGGUCAGGGUUUAGGCAUCCUGAUAGUCCUCCAGCCCUGCUAUUUCUUCAUCAAGUGCAUGCAAAAAGCAUGAGGAAUUCAACUGUGUGAAGCAGCCCUCCAAGUCAAGUGCACCUGAUGCACCACAACAAGAGGAAAUGCAGGGCUGAUGGAAGAAAGUGUCAGUCAAGACACUUGCGGAAGGAGACUCCACAACUUCUCAGGCAAUCUGUGCCAGUGCUCAGUCAUUCUCAAAGUGAAAAAAGCGUUUGUGAUCAGAUAGACCCUCCUGUGUUUCAGGUGGUGCUCACUGCCUCUUCAUGUCAGGUGCUAAACAUAGUGCUAUAGCAAGUAGAAGCAGAAAUGCAACCUCUGUUGCACCUACAGUCUAUAGAAAAAGGACAAAAAGGGCAUCUACUAACUGAAAAUUUGUAGUCUCAGAAAAUUCCUGGCUUUGUUGUUAGUUGAAGGGCUCUUUACAUACCAUAGGAAGUACUAGUGAUACCGUCUUAUGUUUCAGCUUCCAUUAAACUUCUUUUUGACUCUGUCCAGUGUAAAAAGAGGGCAAAACGGGCUUGAUUUCCUGGGUAUGGGAGAGGAUCAAACCUCUGCACGUGCCACAACCUCUGCCUUUUUCCUUUGAGACAAUAUAUCUUUAGUUUAUGCAACUGGUCAUUGCUAUACUGACUUCUGUAGCACUGCACUGGGUCUCACCAGCCUGUCCCUAGGAGUUACAGACUAAUGUUAAACAGUUACUUGAUACAUGUGUGCCCAUGUCAUACGCUUCCAACAUAGUGUUCCUUGCAUUCUGUCUCCACCUCUUUGUCUUAAGAUUUUCAAUAAAAAACCCUUCUUACUUUCCAGUCCCCACCAGCAAUCUCCAGUACACGUGAAGUGGGUUGUGAGUUAGAUGCAGCCUUGAGUAUAAUUAGCUUAAUGUCAACUCCAGAUUCACUUCUUGUCUUUGUCUCCAAGGAUGGUAUCUGCAGAGGACAGGGGCAUUUUUAAUGCUGUAUUUCAGGACCUUAGUUCUGCUUUGUUACCUCCAAAGAUGUGUGAUAUAUAUGACGAAGACUGAAAGCCAUCAGAGCCCCACAUUCAGUUGACGUUUUAGUACCAUUUUACAGAGUAGUUUAUUGCCUGCAUGGUAUCUUUUAGGACAGUAGGAAGCAUCAUUGAUUUUAACUUGAGUUUUCUUUUGUUCACUUAGCAGAUAGGCACUGUGAAAAAACUCUCAGCUUUACCCCAGUGUCUUUUGUUUAAAUAUCACAGCUGAUUAAGUUAGGCCCAAAAUAUAGCCCUCUGAGGAAAAUGGAUAUAGAACCAUAGUGUGAGUAUGACUGUUGAAGGGAUUUUCCUAGACUUUAACUAGAUAUUUUCUGGAACUGUUGAAAUCUCUAAGACAGCAGUAUUUUACUGAUUCAUAAGGACUGGUGAAUGUAACUCACAAAUACCAUUUUCAUCUGCCAUCCUUCUCUCUGCUAAGUCUUUAUGUCAUUAAAACUCCCAUUCCUAUCACAGCUGCAACCAGUGGAACAAUGUGGGGGAUGAAGUAACUCAUAGCUAAGCCAUAGAUGGAAACAACUGAAUUGCAAAAUAACUAUAAAAAGGCUUUCCUAAUCUGAACUAGACUUGAUAUUUGUAAGCUUUCUUUUUAUUUUGAAAUGUGUAUUAGCCUCAUUUUACAAAUGAUCUUACAAGCAGCUCACAGCACAGAAAGGAGUUUGUGGGGUCCUGACUCUACUGUGAUACAGCUCUACAGAAACAGAAAAAAUGGUUAAGACUUGAAAUAGGAUUCACCCUCAGUUCUUAGUGGUUAUUUGGUCUAAGUUGUGCCUGCUGAUGUAAAGGUGAAUGUUGUCAAAACACUCCCAUUUCCUCUCUGACAUGGGUUUUAAUUGUGCACAUUUUCAGUAUUUGUUGAUUAGAAGCAACUCAAAUAAACAUAAUGUGAGGACUGGCAAAGGUUUACCCCUUUAAAAGAAAUUAGGAAUAAACCCCAAUAAAACUGUUUAGCUGGACACCAGCGCCAUGCCCAGUGACGGACAUUGAAUAAGCUUCUAGAAGUAGCAGUGCCAGUAAUAUGUGGUCUAACCUGCAGCCCCUUGGCUCUGCUAGCACUGGGUCUCUUUUGAGAAGACCUCCCCUGUUGUU